UACGGGGGGGGCAAGCGUUGUUCGGAAUUACUGGGCGUAAAGGGCUCGUAGGCGGCCAACUAAGUCGGACGUGAAAUCCCUCGGCUUAACCGGGGAACUGCAUCCGAUACUGGAAGGCUUGAGUUUGGGAGAGGGAAGUGGAAUUCCCGGUGUAGUGGUGAAAUGCGUAGAUAUCGGGAGGAACACCAGUGGCGAAGGCGACUUCCUGGCCUGUUCUUGACGCUGAGGCGCGAAAGCUAGGGGAGCAAACGGG
rnacentral:rRNA from 1 species